GGGCAUAACUACUUAGUAAUCUAAAUUCAAGAUUCUUACUAAAAUAUUCUAUUGGGAAAAAUCGGGGUAUUACAACCCUCCCCCCUAAAAAAAAUUUCGUCCUCGAAAUUUGCAUACUCAUUUUCUAAUUUGGAAUACUAGGUCUUCAUUCUAUCUUACAAUUCUUUUGUGGCCUUUUCCAUCGUUUGAUUGUUUCACUCUUAUUCAUAGCUAGUGAUUCUACAUAGCUCUAAUUUUAAACAAUAUGCAUAAUCUAAAAGAUUCAUCUUACGAUCGAAUAUUCUCGUAUCAUAGUAUCAUAAUGUUAUAAAUGGGAUGAUUGAUAUGUAGUCAUACCUGUCGAAUUCUUGUUAUUUUGGUCUCAUUGGCGCUGGUUUAGGGCAUAAGCCCUAACAUGUUGAUAUUGUCUUUGGUUUGGUUGUUGGUUCCCUAUUGGCCCUUGUGCUUGCCUCUGUUGUAUCGCAGGGUACCUUGGUUGUGGCAUCUCUGUAGUUAUUCCCUUUGGGCAACCUCUUACAUAAUGUCCCUCUUUUCCGCACCUAAAACAAAUAUUGGUCCCUAUUUUGCACGUACCGAAGUGAGACCUUUGACAUUGUCGGCAUAUAGGUUUCAGUUCCUGUCGCCUCUGUUGUUGUGAUCGUUGUUGUUGUGGAUUUUCUCUCCAAAACCCUCUUUCAAGGUUUCCCCCAUCUUCGUACCCCCAUUUACGUUUUGCACUUCUAUCAUUUUUGGGCAACACUUGUACUGAAUCUUCAUUUUCUUGAGAUAAUACUGACUCAAUAUUUAAAGCCCUGCUUAAAGAUUGGGCGUAUGUCAAUACUCAUUGGCUUGCUAUAGAGAUUGCUAUUUCAAGGCGCAGACCUUGUCGAAAUUUAUCUGCGCGUUUCUCGUCGGUAUCCACAAGAUGUGGAGCAUAUCUUGAUAGUUGAUUAAACAUUCGGUCAUAUUCAGUGACCGUCAUAUCCUGUUGUUUUAAAUUCCAAAACUCAUUAUGUUUCUUUAUCCUAUAGCAUCCAGGAAUGUAUUUCUCAUAUAAGUUCUCCUUAAAGUCAUUCCACGUAUAAGCCUCCCAUUGCUCGGGGGUCAAUGUUCGUUGCACUGAUUCCCACCAAAAUUCAGCCUCAUCCACAAGUUGGAAAAUUGCACAUGUGAGUUUUUCCCUGCCUUCACAACCAAUAUGGUUGAGUAUCCUUUCAGUAGCUCUUACCCAUCUCUCAACAUCAAGGGGAUCGCCGAGGCCAUCAAAAGUGGGUGGAUUAUGCUUGCGGAAUCUCUCGUCCGCACUACGUCCUUGUAUAACUUGUGGU
rnacentral:lncRNA from 1 species